UACGUAGGGAGCAAGCGUUGUCCGGAAUCAUUGGGCGUAAAGCGCGCGUAGGUGGCCUCGUAAGUCCGCUGUAAAAGUCAAAGGCUCAACCUUUGAAAGCCGGUGGAUACUGCGGGGCUAGAGUACGGAAGAGGCGAGUGGAAUUCCAGGUGUAGCGGUGAAAUGCGUAGAUAUCUGGAGGAACACCGGUGGCGAAGGCGGGUCUCUGGACAGUUCCUGACGCUGAGGCACGAAGGUCAGGGGAGCAAACGGG
rnacentral:rRNA from 1 species